rnacentral:rRNA from 1 species
CACGUAGGGGGCAAGCGUUGUCCGGAUUUAUUGGGCGUAAAGAGCGUGUAGGCGGCCAGGUAGGUCCGUUGUGAAAACUCGAGGCUCAACCUCGAGACGUCGAUGGAAACCAUCUGGCUAGAGUCCGGAAGAGGAGAGUGGAAUUCCUGGUGUAGCGGUGAAAUGCGCAGAUAUCAGGAAGAACACCCGUGGCGAAGGCGGCUCUCUGGGACGGUACUGACGCUGAGACGCGAAAGCGUGGGGAGCGAACAGG